AACGAACGCUGGCGGCAUGCCUAACACAUGCAAGUCGAACGAACCCUUCGGGAUUAGUGGCGCACGGGUGCGUAACGCGCGGGAAUCUGCCCUUUGCUUCGGAAUAACAGCUAGAAAUGACUGCUAAUACCGGAUGAUGUCUUCGGACCAAAGAUUUAUCGGCAAGGGAUGAGCCCGCGUAGGAUUAGGUAGUUGGUGGGGUAAAGGCCUACCAAGCCGACGAUCCUUAGCUGGUCUGAGAGGAUGAUCAGCCACACUGGGACUGAGACACGGGCCAGACUCCUACGGGAGGCAGCAGUGGGGAAUAUUGGACAACGGGCGCAAGCCUGAUCCAGCAAUGCCGCGUGAGUGAUGAAGGCCUUCGGGUCGUAAAGCUCUUUUACCAGGGAUGAUAAUGACAGUACCUGGAGAAUAAGCUCCGGCUAACUCCGUGACAGCAGCCGCCGUAAUAC
rnacentral:rRNA from 1 species